UCUGUGUUGGCCAUUCCUUUGCGACUGC
rnacentral:piRNA from 1 species